AUUGAACGCUGGCGGCAUGCCUUACACAUGCAAGUCGAACGGUAACGCGGGGCAACCUGGCGACGAGUGGCGAACGGGUGAGUAACGCAUCGGAACGUGCCCAGUAGUGGGGGAUAGCCCGGCGAAAGCCGGAUUAAUACCGCAUACGACCUACGGGUGAAAGCGGGGGAUCGCAAGACCUCGCGCUAUUGGAGCGGCCGAUGUCAGAUUAGGUAGUUGGUGGGGUAAAAGCCUACCAAGCCGACGAUCUGUAGCUGGUCUGAGAGGACGACCAGCCACACGGGGACUGAGCCACGGCCCAGACUCCUACGGGAGGCAGCAGUGGGGAAUUUUGGACAAUGGGCGCAAGCCUGAUCCAGCCAUGCCGCGUGCGGGAAGAAGGCCUUCGGGUUGUAAACCGCUUUUGUCAGGGAAGAAACGCUCUGGGCUAAUACCCCGGGGUAAUGACGGUACCUGAAGAAUAAGCACCGGCUAACUACGUGCCAGCCGCCGCUGUAAGAC
rnacentral:rRNA from 1 species